rnacentral:rRNA from 1 species
UGCGGAAGGAUCAUUAACCUUUCAAAACAGGGUGCGUCGCGGCCCCCGAGGUGCGGAAACAAGCCUCGAGCGGUUUGGGGUCCUCCCCUUCACGCGCGCACGACUGCCAUCCUUACUUUACGAGCACCUUCUGUUCUCCCUCGGCGGGGCAACCUGCCGUUGGAACCGAAUAAACUCUUUUUGCAUCUAGCAUUACCUGUUCCGAAACAAACAAUCGUUACAACUUUCAACAAUGGAUCUCUUGGCUCUGGCAUCGAUGAAGAACGCAGCGAAAUGCGAUAAGUAGUGUGAAUUGCAGAAUUCAGUGAAUCAUCGAAUCUUUGAACGCACAUUGCGCCCCUCGGUAUUCCGUGGGGCAUGCCUGUUCGAGCGUCAUCUACACCCUCAAGCUCUGCUUGGUGUUGGGCGUCUGUCCCGCCUCCGCGCGUGGACUCGCCCCAAAUUCAUUGGCAGCGGUCCUUGCCUCCUCUCGCGCAGCACAUUGCGCUUCUUGAGGGGCUCCGGUUCGCGUCCAACAAGCACAUUUACCGUCUUUGACCUCGGAUCAGGUAGGGAUACCCGCUGAACUUAAGCAUAUCAAUAA